rnacentral:rRNA from 1 species
AGAGUUUGAUCCUGGCUCAGAAUGAACGUUGGCGGCGUGGAUUAGGCAUGCAAGUCGAGCGAGAACCCCGCAAGGGGGGACAGCGGCAAACGGGGUAGUAAUGUGUCGGAACGUGCCCGGUGGACGGGGAUAGCGGCGGGAAACUGCCGGUAAUACCCGAUGAUCUCGAGAGAGCGAAGGUGUGAUUCCGCCUUUGGAGCGGCCGACAUGGUAUUAGCUAGUUGGUGAGGUAACGGCCCACCAAGGCUUUGAUGCCUAGGGGAUGUGAGAGCAUGAUCCCCACCAUUGGGACUGAGACACUGCCCAGACACCUACGGGUGGCUGCAGUCGAGAAUCUUCGUCAAUGGGCGAAAGCCUGAACGAGCGACGCCGCGUGCGGGAUGAAGGCCCUUGGGUUGUAAACCGCUGUCGAGGGGGAUGAAGGCUUGAAGGUACUCCUUCAAGUUUGACAGAGCCCUGGAGGAAGCACGGGCUAAGUUCGUGCCAGCAGCCGCGGUAAUACGAACUGUGCGAACGUUAUUCGGAAUCACUGGGCUUACAGGGUGCGUAGGCGGCUAUUCAGGUCAGGUGUGAAAGCCCUCGGCUCAACCGAGGAACUGCGCUUGAAACCGGAUGGCUCGAGUCAACUAGAGGUGCACGGAACUUCCAGUGGAGCGGUGAAAUGUGUUGAUAUUGGAAGGAACACCGGAGGCGAAAGCGG